rnacentral:lncRNA from 1 species
AUGGAGUCCAGAGAACAGAAGGUGGCGCUUUUGCUCCACAGCCUGGAUGACAAGACUGCCGAAGUAAAUGUGGAACGAGUGAGAAACAAGAUGCUGCAGGCAGAGGCACUGCACUUGAAUGAGCUAGCAGAGACUCUGCAUCGAAGGGCCGAAGCUGGUGAAACUGCCCUUCGUGGACUGGUGGACUUUGUCAGCAGGCUAAAAGAACAGCUGGUGGGGCAGGAAGAGGUCUGGAAGGCAGCCUUGUCUCGCCUAGGAGGGCUGGGAAACAGGGUUGCUUUUGCAGCGAAGAGAGUCGACACCAUUCAAGGUAAGCUGCACAAUCUAGGCACAAUGCAAUCUUCCCCACCUCACCCCAACUUGGAUAUUAUUACCUGGUCUGUGUUGGCCCAAACCUAACCCAGUGACUUCCAUAUCAAGGUGAUUUGGCCACGACAUU